GCCAGGCAUGGUAGUAUACACCUGUAUUUCUAGCUACUUGAGAGGCUGAGGCAGAAGGAUCAUUUGGGCCCUGGAUUUCUGGGCUGUGGUGUGCUAUUCUGAUCUGGUGUCUUCACUAAACUCAGCAUCAAUAUGGUAACCUUCUGGGAGCAGGAGACCACCAGGUUUCCUAAGGAAGGGUGAACCAGCCAAGUUAAGAAACAGAGCAAGUCAAAACUCACAUGCUGAUCAGUAGCAGUAUCGCUCCAUGAAAAGGCACUGCACUUCCAGCCAGGGUAACAUAGCGAGACUCCACCUUAA
rfam:Callithrix jacchus chromosome X, whole genome shotgun sequence